rnacentral:rRNA from 1 species
CCUACGGGCGGCAGCAGUGAGGAAUAUUGGUCAAUGGGCGCGAGCCUGAACCAGCCACGUAGCGUGAAGGAUGACUGCCCUACGUGUUGUAAGCUUCUUUUAUAAAGGAAUAAAGUGAGGCACGUGUGCCUUUUUGUAUGUACUUUAUGAAUCAGGAACGGCUAACUCCGUGCCAGCAGCCGCGGUAAUACGGAGGGUCCGAGCGUUAUCCGGAUUUAUUGGGUUUAAAGGGAGCGUAGAUGGGUUGUUAAGUCAGUUGUGAAAGUUUGCGGCUCAACCGUAAAAUUGCAGUUGAUACUGGCAGGCUUGAGUACAGUUGAGGUAGGUGGAAUUCGUGGUGUAGCGGUGAAAUGCUUAGAUAUUACGAAGAACUCCGAUUGCGAAGGCAGCUUACUAAACUGCCACUGACGUUGAUGCUCGAAAGUGUGGGUAUCAAACAGGAUUAGAUACCCCGGUAGUC